CCUACGGGGGGCAGCAGUGAGGAAUAUUGGUCAAUGGACGAGAGUCUGAACCAGCCAAGUAGCGUGAAGGAUGACUGCCCUAUGGGUUGUAAACUUCUUUUAUAAAGGAAUAAAACGAGGCACGUGUGCCUUUUUGCAUGUACUUUAUGAAUAAGGAUCGGCUAACUCCGUGCCAGCAGCCGCGGUAAUACGGAGGAUCCGAGCGUUAUCCGGAUUUAUUGGGUUUAAAGGGAGCGUAGAUGGGUUGUUAAGUCAGUUGUGAAAGUUUGCGGCUCAACCGUAAAAUUGCAAUUGAUACUGGCAGUCGUGAGUACAGUUGAGGUAAGCGGAAUUCGUGGUGUAGCGGUGAAAUGCUUAGAUAUCACGAAGAACCCCGAUUGCGAAGGCAGCUUACUAAACUGUGACUGACAUUGAUGCUCGAAAGUGUGGGUAUCAAACAGGAUUAGAUACCCUGGUAGUC
rnacentral:rRNA from 1 species